GGCGGCGUGGAUAAGACAUGCAAGUCGAACGGGAUUACUUUUGGUAGCAAUACCGAAAGUGAUCCAGUGGCGAACGGGUGCGUAACACGUGGGCAAUCUACCGAGAAGUGGGGGAUAGCUCGCCGAAAGGCGAAUUAAUACCGCAUGUGAUCAGGGGAGACAUCUUCCCGAAAUCAAAGGUGGCGCAAGCUACCGCUUUUUGAGGAGCCCGCGGCCUAUCAGCUUGUUGGUGAGGUAACGGCUCACCAAGGCGUUGACGGGUAGCUGGUCUGAGAGGACGACCAGUCACACUGGGACUGAGACACGGCCCAGACACCUACGGGUGGCAGCAGUCGAGAAUUUUUCUCAAUGGGGGAAACCCUGAAGGAGCGACGCCGCGUGGAGGAUGAAGGUCUUCGGGUUGUAAACUCCUGUCAUUUGGGAACAAGGUGCGCGCGUUAACUGCGCGCGUAUUGAUAGUACCAGAAGAAGAAGAGACGGCUAACUCUGUGCCAGCAGCCGCGGUAAUACAGAA
rnacentral:rRNA from 1 species